rnacentral:rRNA from 1 species
CCUACGGGUGGCAGCAGUGAGGAAUAUUGGUCAAUGGGCGCUAGCCUGAACCAGCCAAGUAGCGUGAAGGAUGACUGCCCUAUGGGUUGUAAACUUCUUUUAUAUGGGAAUAAAGUGCAGUAUGUAUACUGCUUUGCAUGUACCUUAUGAAUAAGGAUAGGCUAACUCCGUGCCAGCAGCCGCGGUAAUACGGAGGAUCCGAGCGUUAUCCGGAUUUAUUGGGUUUAACGGGAGCGUAGGCGGUUGGGUAAGUCAGGUGUAAAUGUUUGAGGCUCAACCGUAAAAUUGCAGUUGAUACUGGCAUCCUUGAGUACUGUAGAGGUAGGCGGAAUUCGUUGUGUAGCGGUGAAGUGCAGAGAUAUC